CACGCUAUCGGGAUUAUUGGGCGUAAGAGCUCGUAGGCGGUUUGUCGCGUCUGUCGUGAAAGUCCGGGGCUUAACCCCGGAUCUGCGGUGGGUACGGGCAGACUAGAGUGCAGUAGGGGAGACUGGAAUUCCUGGUGUAGCGGUGGAAUGCGCAGAUAUCAGGAGGAACACCGAUGGCGAAGGCAGGUCUCUGGGCUGUAACUGACGCUGAGGAGCGAAAGCAUGGGGAGCGAACAGGAUUAGAUACCCUGGUAGUCCAUGCCGUAAACGUUGGGCACUAGGUGUGGGGAACAUUCCACGUUUUCCGCGCCGCAGCUAACGCAUUAAGUGCCCCGCCUGGGGAGUACGGCCGCAAGGCUAAAACUCAAAGGAAAUUGACGGA
rnacentral:rRNA from 1 species